UUCAAAAGACGACACGGACUAUUAGGCCUGCAAAGCCCCCGGGACGUCUGAGGGGGAGGGAGCGCGCCGAUUGUUGUGAAGGAAGAUUUUUAGAGGCUAACGUGAGACCCUGUGCGCUGAGGAAAAAAGACGAUCGAUAAUCGGCAUGUGAAAUGCGGAUGAAGAAGAGAGCAGAUACAGCACCGGUACCUACCGACCAAUCGGCUUCCCUUCUUCCCUGGCCACAAGCAUCAGAGCGAAACCUUAAAAUGUGACGAGACAACAACAGGCCAGCGGGAGCUCCCCCCUCGCUUUAUUCCGGUUAUUUAUUGAAUUAUGUCGCCUCCGGCCACGGGAACGCGCGGCAAGAUCCAGCUUCCAGCACAGACCACCCAUGACAUAUUAAGUUCCUAUCCUGCCCACCCCUCCUUCUGCUGGAGCGAGCUGGCCCCCUCUGGCUGCCUCUGUUAUUUCAGCAGUGUCAGAGCCACUAAAAGAGAAAGGGAAGGGGGCUGCGGGUAGACCCGACUGAGCCAGAAGAGAGUAUGCUUUGAAUGUUGGC